UGCUGGGAAGAAUACGUC
rnacentral:rRNA from 2 species